GGGAGGGCACGUGCAGAGGCCGAGGCGAGCAAGUCAUGGAGUGUUGAUGGCAGUGAUCACUUGGAGAAUACCGUUGAAGGUCUGUCGGGGAUCUUUACCUAGAGAGCUGGACUUUUCCAAGGGCCCGAAGCCCCACGAGAAGGUGCGGAGCCCCGUUUUGCGGCAAUACGGAAGUACGUUGCCGGAAAAAGACAGGUCUGGCCGCUGGCAGCAGGCGCUUAGGCGAGCAUCGCCUAGGGUGUGACGGGACAGGGGUGGUGCCGAGAAGGCCAGGAAAGGACAGUGGCUACUAGAAAAUUUAAACUUAGGACCAGCAAAAUGGCUUAGCAGGCGAAAACACUUGCUACCAAUCCUGAGGAUCUGAGUUCAAGUCCCAGAGCCCACAUAUUGGAAGGAAAGACCCAGCCCCCUCAAGUUGUCCUCUGGACUCCAUACAGCCUCUGCGGCACAUGACAUACACAUGCAAAAACGAAUAUGUUUUUAAUGCAACAAAUUUUAAUAAUAAAAUCAGAUCACACUG